CGCCGUGUGUGUGUGUGUGUGUAUGUAUCUAUAUAUAUAUAUAUAUAUAUAUAUAUAUAUAUAUAUAUAUAUGUAUAUAUAUAUAUAUAUAUAGAUACAUACACACACACACAAACACAUAC